AGAGUUUGAUCCUGGCUCAGGACGAACGCUGGCGGCGCGCCUAACACAUGCAAGUCGAACGAGAGAUGAGGAGCUUGCUCUUCAAAUCGAGUGGCGAACGGGUGAGUAACGCGUGAGGAACCUGCCUCAAAGAGGGGGACAACAGUUGGAAACGACUGCUAAUACCGCAUAAGCCCACGGCUCGGCAUCGAGCAGAGGGAAAAGGAGCAAUCCGCUUUGAGAUGGCCUCGCGUCCGAUUAGCUAGUUGGUGAGGUAACGGCCCACCAAGGCGACGAUCGGUAGCCGGACUGAGAGGUUGAACGGCCACAUUGGGACUGAGACACGGCCCAGACUCCUACGGGAGGCAGCAGUGGGGAAUAUUGCACAAUGGGGGAAACCCUGAUGCAGCGACGCCGCGUGGAGGAAGAAGGUCUUCGGAUUGUAAACUCCUGUUGUUGAGGAAGAUAAUGACGGUACUCAACAAGGAAGUGACGGCUAACUACGUGCCAGCAGCCGCGGUAAAACGUAGGUCACAAGCGUUGUCCGGAAUUACUGGGUGUAAAGGGAGCGCAGGCGGGAAGACAAGUUGGAAGUGAAAUCUAUGGGCUCAACCCAUAAACUGCUUUCAAAACUGUUUUUCUUGAGUAGUGCAGAGGUAGGCGGAAUUCCCGGUGUAGCGGUGGAAUGCGUAGAUAUCGGGAGGAACACCAGUGGCGAAGGCGGCCUACUGGGCACCAACUGACGCUGAGGCUCGAAAGUGUGGGUAGCAAACAGGAUUAGAUACCCUGGUAGUCCACACCGUAAACGAUGAUUACUAGGUGUUGGAGGAUUGACCCCUUCAGUGCCGCAGUUAACACAAUAAGUAAUCCACCUGGGGAGUACGACCGCAAGGUUGAAACUCAAAGGAAUUGACGGGGGCCCGCACAAGCAGUGGAGUAUGUGGUUUAAUUCGA
rnacentral:rRNA from 1 species